rnacentral:lncRNA from 10 species
CCCUGCGUCUUCGUUAGUUCCUUUUCCUUCUCUCAGACCUUUGGCUGGAAGCUGGUGGGGCUGAAAGGUGAAGGCUGCCACCUAGAGGUGAACUCUGGCACCUGCCAAAGCCUGCGAGGCGUCUUAUCUUCUCAUCAAGACUCACAGAGAGAACGUAACAGGAUUACUGCUGUGGCUGGAAGAGGCCAAUUCUGCAGCACCCACCGGUUUGCAUGAAGUUUCAAAACAGCUGCAGACAUCCAAAGCACUGGGUAAGGAGGCCAUCCUGUAGACUGUGGCUCUGACAGUUACUCCAGGGUGACCUUUAGCAGGUCCCCUAACACCUAUGAGCCCUGAGGGGGGUGAAAUGGAAGCACCCCCCAACCAGUCCACGUUACCACAUAGACUGUAAAAUGCCGCCCACUAGUGAAUGGCCUCUUUUGAAACACUUUCUUGCUGUUCUCUUUGUAUAUGGAGUUGAACCUGCAGUGGAAAAUGUGAUUGACAGGGAUUAACAUCUAGGCCCCUUGGGGCCCACCUGGAUGAACCCUCAGUGGAAGCUGGGAUCAUGAACAAUGGAUAUGGAACCACUGUAAGACCAGGUGGCCCCUGGCCCUGAUGAAGAGAGUCAGGGUGUAUGUGGGGUGGGGAAUGGAGCAAUAUGGUUGUCUGUCCUGAUGGUCCUGAAUCUCUCAUCUCUUCCCUGCAUAACCUACAGUGGCAUGUCUUGAAACCCCCUUUUUUUUUUGGAGAUGGAAUCUCACUCUGUUGCCCAGAUGCUCAGCUCACUGUAACCUCUGCCUCCUGGGUUCAAGUGAUUCUCCUGCCUCAACCUUCCCUUCCCAGUAGCUGGGAUUACAGGCACGUGGCACCAUGUCCAGCUAAUGUUUGUAUUUUUAGUAGAGACGAGGUUUAUCAUGUUGGCCAGGCUCG